rnacentral:rRNA from 1 species
UACGAAGGGAGCUAGCGUUGUUCGGAAUCAUUGGGCGUAAAGCGCGCGUAGGCGGCCCUGUAAGUCCGUUGUGAAAGUCAAAGGCUCAACCUUUGAAAGCCGAUGGAUACUGCAGGGCUCGAGUUCGGAAGAGGCGAGUGGAAUUCCUGGUGUAGCGGUGGAAUGCGCAGAUAUCAGGAGGAACACCAAUAGCGAAGGCAGCUCGCUGGGACGAUACUGACGCUAAGGCGCGAAAGCGUGGGGAGCGAACAGG